GAUGAACGCUGGCGGCGUGCCUAAUACAUGCAAGUCGAACGCAGCGGGGGCGGGUGAGUAACACGUGGAUAACCUCCGAUACGUCUGGGAUAAAUUCGGGAAACCGGUGCUAAAGGGGAUACUUAGAGGUGGAUCCACGCUGCAUUCGCGAGUUGGUAAGGUAACGGCGUACCAAGGCCACGAUGCAUAGCCGACCUGAGAGGGUGAUCGGCCACACUGGAACUGAGACACGGCCCAGACUCCUACGGGAGGCAGCAGUAGGGAAUCUUCGGCAAUGGGCGAAAGCCUGACCGAGCAACGCCGCGUGAGUGAAGAAGGUUUUCGGAUCGUAAAACUCUGUUAUUAGGGAAGCGGUACCUAAUCAGAAAGCCACGGCUAACUACGUGCCAGCCGCCGCGGUAAUUC
rnacentral:rRNA from 1 species